CGAGGCGGGCGGUGCGGCCUGAGUGACGCCGCCGUGGGGCGGCCUGGCCCCAUGGCCGCCGUGUUCCUCGUCACGCUCUACGAGUACUCGCCGCUCUUCUACAUCGCUGUGGUGUUCGUCUGCUUCCUCGUCACCAGCGGCCUGGUGCUGGGCUGGUUUGGGUUGGGUGUUCCUGUUAUUUUGAGAAACUCAGAAGAAACAGAAUCCAGCACAAGAAUCUUGAAAAAGCGGAUGAGACAAGUGAAGAAUCCUUUUGGGUUAGAAAUCCUUCACCCUGCUACAGCUUCAGUAACAAAGGGUGUAACACUGACACCAGAUUGUCUGGAAGACUGUGUUCUUACGUGCUACUGGGGCUGCAGUGUUCAAAAACUCCAGGAAGCGCUGCAGAAACAUGUCUACUGCUUCAGAAUAAAGACUCCUCAGGCCUUGGAGGAUGCUCUGUACAGCCAAUACCUCUAUCGACAGCAGUACUUCAUUAAAAAACAUGACAAGGAAGAAAAAUACUGUCAGUUACCAGAAGAUGCUCAAGUUGUUGAUUUUGGCCCAGUGCCCAGAUCUCGCUAUCCCUUGGUAGCACUGUUGACGUUAGCUGAUGAAGAGGACAGAGAAAUCUAUGACAUUAUUUCAAUGGUGGCUGUAAUUCACAUUCCUGAUGAGAGCUACAGACUUCCCUGCAGAAUAUUGUAUCAGUACCUACUUCUAGCUCAAGGUCAAUUCCACGAUCUGAAGGUGUGCACCCAUCCCCUGCUGCAGCUCAAGCCAAAGGGGUGAACAUGCUCUUCCUUCCAGCCCUCAUCCCCCAUCGGUGCCCCAAAAUGAUGCCAACAAAAUGUGGUGUGCACAGACCCAGAUGAAGUGUUCCAGGGACAGGAAUUCUCGUUUCUUCAGUGCAUAAGACAUCUGUGCCUUCUCCCCCAGCCUCACAUAGAUACAUGUGGGACAGGCCUUGGAAGGGCUUAUUUGUAUAAACUGCACAGCUCCACUUCACCACCCAAGGUAAGGAAAAACACUAGUCCUAGUGGCCAAUUCCCACAUCCCAGUGGCCAAUUCCCACCCUUUGUUUAGGAACAAAUGGAAGAGAUGUGGUGUGUAGUUAUCUCAGCCUGCCUGCCUGUGAUAUUUUCACUCCUACUUGGGGUUAAUGAGCUGGGAAAGCUGGGCCAUUGUGUGCUGGUGGAUACAGUCAUCCUUCCCUGGGCUAAAUAUGUUACCAGGAUGGUUUCCAGUGAGUUGAGCAACUGCUUCCUUCGAACUCAUGAACCAUCAAGAUUCACUCAUUUGCUCAGACCACCUGCUUGGCUGAUUUUACCACAGGCCUCUUGUUUUUGCUCCAAAGUGGUAAACAGAAGCGUUGACAGUCCCUAGAUGUUGCUGUGCUGAGCCACCCCGGCGGGCUGGCAGUGGAGGAAUUGCCAUGUAAAACAGAAUGAUCCCACUUCUCCACUUGCUCUGCCUGCAUGCAGAGCUGGCUGGGGUCUCUCUGCUCCCAGGACACAGAUGUUCCAUCUGCAGGGAAGAGCUGGCCGUGGAAUUGCUGAUGAGCCCCUCCAGCCGAUUAGCUCCAGAAAUGGAGAUUUGCUUCCAGCCAGCUUGAGAAGAUCCUCCUAUCCCACCGAUCUGCACAGCACCCAACCCUGCAAUGCGUGUGGGGCUGCAGCAGGUGUUCCUUCCCUGGGUCACAGGUAUGGUUUUUAAUUACCACAGAAACCUCCAACCAUCACAGCAUAUGCCCUUACGUCAGGAUCUCACUCCUCUUCAUCUGCUUCCUGGGGACACCCUGGGGAAUAGGUGCUUAUACUCGCCUGAGUGGCAGAUGAGUGUUUUUGGGUUUAUCAUCAGGUUUGCUCUUGAUGUCUCCUGGAGCACAGGCCACCUUCUGUGGCUUCGGUCCUUUACCCUGACGUGUUCAUGACUUGCUGCAUGGGGGGGACACCACCUCUCCCCGGCCUCAUGGAGUGCUGCUUUUGGUGCUUCAGCCCUCAGUAUUCUCCUGCCACUUGAGAUGUGCAAAAUGCAAAACCCAAGAGGUGGUGUCAUGGAGCUUCUCCUGACAUUAAUGAUGAUGGUCUAAUGAGCCUCCCUCCAUCUUCCCGUGCCAGACCUGCACACCAGUGGGGGUGGUUCCCUCCAUCUUCCCAUGCCAGACCUGCACACCAGUGGGAAUGGUUCCCUCCAUCUUCCCGUGCCAGGCCUGCACACCAGUGGGGCAGGUGGUGCAUCCUCACAGCUCCUUGGGUCAUCCCUCUGCACACCAGGAUGGUGGGAGGACUGUUGGCACCAAGGUGAGGGGAAAGAGGCUCUUUGAUGGACCAUUUCUUGGGAUGGAGCCGGAGGGUGAGACAGCUGGCUGGGAUUUGUUGGCAGGGAAUUCCAUUUGUUUAAUUAGUCACCAGCCCUACUGACAGCUAAAGCACCUUACGUGCAAACUCAUAAGCUGGGUGACAUGGACCAUUUGUGCUUGACUUACAGGAGCUGCUGGAAGCCACUUGGUGAUCCUCGUCUCAUGGUCCUACUGAGGGAUCUAUGCUCCUGCACAUGGGAUUGGGCAUUCCCAGUGGCUUUGGGCAGCUUUUAUGUUCCCACUACUUUUUUUUUUUUCCCAAAAAAAAAAAGGGGAUUCAGCCACAUGCAUCACUUUUUAAGCUGGAGGGGGCACCAACCUGGAGUUUGUCUUUCUCCAGCCCCCACCAGAGCACACAGACACUUUGGGGGAGCAGAUUCACCAAGGAAGGGGUUCAGCCCCGGGUUUGCCACCAUCCCAUCACAUCUCCCUCCCUCCCCAUCUCCCAACACCUGAGCGCAUCUCUUACCUGAGCUUCCCCAGCUGCGAAGCAAGGAGGGCAUUGCUGCAAUGGCCCCGGUGUCACUUGUCCCCUGAGGCACAGGACAGAGCCUGGACACCCUUUUGCUGCUCCAGGAGAAGGAACAACACACUUCACACCUUGAUUUUACGCUGCACGAAGCAGUCGAUUCUGCUCAGUAUUCGCUGACCUUCUGACUUUCUGCUUGAAAGAGUCCAGCGCAGAGCCACAAAGAUGAUGAAGGGAGUGGAACAUCUCCCUGAUGAGGAAAGGCUGAGGGAGCUGGGUCUCUUUAGUUUGGAGAAAAGGAGACUGAGGGGUGACCUCAUCAAUGUUUACAAAUACGUAAAGG